rnacentral:rRNA from 1 species
AUUGAACGCUGGCGGCAUGCUUUACACAUGCAAGUCGGACGAGUGGCGAACGGGUGAGUAACAUAUCGGAACGUACCGAGUAAUGGGGGAUAACUAAUCGAAAGAUUAGCUAAUACCGCAUAUUAUUCGAGCGGCCGAUAUCUGAUUAGCUGGUUGGUGGGGUAAAGGUCUACCAAGGCGACGAUCAGUAGCGGGUCUGAGAGGAUGAUCCGCCACACUGGGACUGAGACACGGCCCAGACUCCUACGGGAGGCAGCAGUGGGGAAUUUUGGACAAUGGGGGAAACCCUGAUCCAGCCAUCCCGCGUGUGCGAUGAAGGCCUUCGGGUUGUAAAGCACUUUUGGCAGGAAAGCGGUACCUGCAGAAUAAGCACCGACUAACUACGUGCCAGCAGCCGCGGUAAUAC